rnacentral:rRNA from 1 species
AACGAACGCUGGCAGUAUGCUUUAACCAUGCAAGUCGAACGAGAUUCGGUAGCAAUACCGAUGACAGUGGCAAACGAGUGAGUAACACACAGGAAUCUACCUAGUAGAGAGGGAUAAGCUCUGGAAACGGAGUCUAAUACCACCUACGCCGCCAUAGCAAUAUGUCGGGAAAGACGCAAGUCGCUAUUAGAUGAGCCUAUGUCUGAUUAGUUAAUUGGUGAGGUAAUGGCCCACCAAGACGAUGAUCAGUAGCUGAUCUGAGAGGGUGAUCAGCCACGUUGGGACUGCGACACGGCCCAAACUCCUACGGGAGGCAGCAGGUGGGAAUAUUGGACAAUGGAGGAAACUCUGAUCCAGCAAUACUGCGUGAAUGAUGAAGGUCUUCGGAUUGUAAAGUUCUUUUAGUAGGGAAGAUAAUGACGGUACCUACAGAAAAAGCACCGGCAAACUUCGUGCCAGCAGCCGCGGUAAUACGAAGGGUGCUAGCGUUGUUCGGAAUUAUUGGGCGUAAAGGGUGUGUAGGCCGCCCCCUAAGUCAGUUGUGAAAUCCCCGAGCUCAACUUGGGAAUUGCGAUUGAUACUAUGGGGCUAGGGUAAGAUAUGUGAUGGCAGAAUUUCUAGUGUAGGGGUUAAAUCCGUAGAUAUUAGAAGGAAUACCGGUGGUGUAGACGGCUAUCGAGGUCUUUACCGACGCUGAAACACGAAAGAGUGGGGAGCAAACAGGAUUAGAUACCCUGGUAGUCCACUCCGUAAACGAUGAUUACUAAAUGUCUGGGCGUAAGCCUGGGUGUUAAAGCUAACGCGUUAAGUAGUCCGCCUGGGGAAUACGGUCGCAAGACUAAAACUUAAAUGAAUUGACGGGGACCCGCACAAGCAGUGGAACGUGUGGUUUAAUUCGAUAGUCCACGAAGAACCUUACCAAAUCUUGACAUACAGAUUGCGAGUAUAGAAAUAUACUUUCAUUUAGUUGGAUCUGAUACAGGUGAUGCAUGGCCGUCGUCAGCUCGUGCCGUGAGGUGUUAGGUUAAGUCCUUUAACGAGCGCAACCCUCGCCCUUAUUUGCUAACAGGUAAUGCUGAGAACUAUAAGGGGACCGCCAUUGACAAAAUGGAGGAAGGUGGGGAUGAUGUCAGGUCAUCACGUCCCUUAUGAUUUGGGCUACACAUGCGUUACAAUGGUAUCUACAGAGAGAUGCAAAGGGGUGACCCAGAGCCAAUCUUCAAAAGAUAUCUCAGUUCGGAUUGCAGGCUGCAACUCGCCUGCAUGAAGUUGGAAUUGCUAGUAAUCGUAGAUCAGCAUGCUACGGUGAAUACGUUCUCGGG